ensembl:lncRNA
CAAGUCCCAGAACGGUACACUAUUCCCGGACAGUGAUGGCAGACCAGCAGGUGUACCGCAUGGAUGAAUAAACAGCUCCAGAGAGCGGCAGAGACCAGACCAAGUCCCAGAACGACACACUAUUCCCGGACAGUGAUGGCAGAACAGCAGGUGUACCGCAUGGAUGAAUACACAGUUCCAGAGAGCGGGAGAUCCCGGCCGAUGUCCGAUGACGAAGCACUGUAUGGGACACUUUGAAGGAAGGGUCGGUCUCCUGGAUGAAAAGAACUUUAAUUUUCUGACUUAAAAUACGGAGUUAAAGUUUCCAGUCGGGACGAUAAGGAGGGCAAAAAAACCCGGACUUUUUUGGCUCCGUCAGAAACUAAGUAAAAGUCGGAAUAUGUGAAGGAAAGCUCAGAAAAUGCCUGGAGAAAUUUGAGCGGACCGGAAAAAAAAAGUUCCAGCCGACAUCACUGGGCCACCAGGUCGCAGAUUCCUGAAACCCGGUUUUUAGAAACAUAGGCCUCCAGGAGUGAGGACCGGCGUUUGUGCGGUUCGGAUCCGACUCAGACCUCAGUAUUUUCGGACACCCUCGGACAGUGGCGGGGGUGGAAGAACCGGAGCCUCAUGCAGAACUGGCUGUCGGGGAGCAAGCGGACGCUACCCCGGCAGGAGGCAUCAUUCCGGGCACUGUGGCUGAUCGGUAGCUUUCGUGGAUGGAUGACUGAGCGAACGAACGAGAUGACGGCGGUGCGUCCUGGCUGAUGUCCCAGUACGGGGCACUAUUCUCGGAUGCUGAUGGCAGAACAGCAGGUGCAGUGGACGGAUGAACACACAGUUCCAGACAGCGUGAUAUCCCAGACCAUGUCCCAGAACGGCACACUAUUCUCGGAUGCUGAUGUCAGAACAGCAGGUGUAACGCAUGGAUGAAUACAGAGUUCCAGAGAGCGGCAGAGACCAGACCAUGUCCCUGUACGGGACACUAUUCUAGGAUGCUGAUGUCAGAACAGCAGGUGCAGCGGACGGACUAAUACACAGUUCCAGAGAGCGGUAUUUCACGACAGAUAUCCGAUGAUGAAGCGCCAUUGUCGGACACUGAUGGCAGAACAGCAGGUGCACUGGAUGAAGGAAAUAAACAGAACAUAGUUCCAGAGAGCGUGAUAUCCCAGACCAAGUCCCAGAACGGCGCGCUAUUGUCGGACACUGAUGGCAGAACAGCAGGUGCACUGGAUGAAGGAAAUAAACAGAACAUAGUUCCAGAGAGCGUGAUAUCCCAGACCAAGUCCCAGAACGGCCCACUAUUCCCGGACACUCAUCUACUUAAAAUCUCCCUGAUUACCUGCCAGAACAGAGCAGAUCCAGAGAGCGGUAUUUCACGGCAGCUAUCCGAUGAUGAAGCGCUAUUGUCGGACACUGAUGGCAGAACAGCAGGUGCACUGGAUGAAGGAAAUGAACAGAACAUAGUUCCAGAGAGCGGGAUAUGCGAGACCAUGUCCCAGUACGGGACACUAUUCUCGGAUGCUGAUGUCAGAACAGCAGGUGCAGUGGAUGAAGGAAAUAAUCAGAACAUAGUUCCAGAGAGCGGGAUAUCCCAGACCAUGUCCCAGUACGGGACACUAGUCUCGGAUGCUGAUGUCAGAACAGCAGGUGCAGUGGAUGAAGGAAAUAAACAGAACACAGUUCCAUGGAGCGGGAGAUCCCAGACCAUGUCCCAGUACGGGACACUAUUCUCGGAUGCUGAUGUCAGAACAGCAGGUGCAGUGGAUGAAGGAAAUAAUCAGAACAUAGUUCCAGAGAGCGGGAUAUCCCAGACCAUGUCCCAGUACGGGACACUAUUCUCGGAUGCUGAUGUCAGAACAGCAGGUGCAGUGGAUGGAUGAAUUAAACAGUUCCAGAGAGCGUGAGAUCCCGGCUGAUAUCCGAUGAAGAAGCACUGUUCUCGGACACUGAUGGCAGAACAGCAGGUGCAGUGGAUGGAUGAAGUAAACAGUUCCAUAGAGCAGGAGAUCCCAGACCAUGUCCCAGAACGACACACUAUUCUCGGAUGCUGAUGUCAGAACAGCAGGUGUAACGCAUGGAUGAAUACAGAGUUCCAGAGAGCGGCAGAACCCAGACCAUGUCCCAGUACGGGACACUAUUCUCGGAUGCUGAUGUCAGAACAGCAGGUGCAGUGGAUGGAUGAAAUAAACAGUUCCAUGGAGCGGUAUUUCCCGACAGAUAUCCGACGACGAAGGACCAUUUGGGACGCUUUGCAGGAAGGGUCGGUCUCCUGGAUGAAAAGGACUUUAAUUUUCUGACUUAAAAUCCGGAGUUAAAGUUUCCAGUCGGGACGAUAAGGAGGGCAAAAAAACCCGGACUUUUUUGGCUCCGUCAGAAACUAAGUAAAAGUCGGACUAUGUGAAGGAAAGCUCAGAAAAUGCCUGGAGAAUUUUGAUCGGACCGGAAAAAAAAAGUUGUAGCCGACAUCACUGGGCCACCAGGUCGCAGAUUUCAGAAACCUGGUUUUUAGAAACAUAGGCCUCCAGGAGUGAGGACCGACGUUUGUGCGUUUUGGAUCCGACUCAGACCUCAGUAUUUUCGGACGCCCUCGGACAGUGGCGAGGGUGAACGAACCGGAGCCUCGUUCCGGGCACUGUGGCUGGUCGGUGGGUUUCGCGGCUGGAUCGCUGAGCGAGAGAGAUGGCGGCGGGGCGGCCCGCCUCCGGUGCGCCCUGGCUUCGGCCGGGGCGCGCCGGUGGGUGAAACACUUUGAUCGAACGAGAUUGCUUGAGCGGAGGCGGGGCGGCCCGCCUCCGGUGCGCGCGCCCGCCGGCGGUGCGCCGUCCCCGGGCGCUUUGGCUUCGGCCGGGGCGCGCCGGUGGAGGAAAUGCUUUACGUGAAAAUUCUGACCGAUUUGCAACCGUGACCCGCCACCCGGGGGCCCCCGCCAGAUGGGCGGAGGGUUCCCCGGAACGCGGGUCUGCCUCUAUGCCCGGGUGGGUUGGUGCGCGCGCUGGGUUCGGCCCCCGAUGGCCCUGCGCUUCUCCCCGGGCGCCCGAUUUGUAGCGAGUCCGAGACGGCCCGUCUGCCC